GAUCCUGGCUCAGGAUGAACGCUGGCGGCGUGCUUAACACAUGCAAGUCGAACGGGAAUUACUUUAUUGAAACUUCGGUCGAUUUAAUUUAAUUCUAGUGGCGGACGGGUGAGUAACGCGUGGGUAACCUGCCUUAUACAGGGGGAUAACAGUCAGAAAUGACUGCUAAUACCGCAUAAGCGCACAGGACCGCAUGGUCUGGUGUGAAAAACUCCGGUGGUAUAAGAUGGACCCGCGUUGGAUUAGCUGGUUGGUGGGG
rnacentral:rRNA from 1 species